CCCUUAGAUGUCCUGGGCUGCACGCGCGCUACACUGACACGUUCAGCAAGUUUCCUAUUCCGAAGGGAAAAGGUAAUCUUUUGAAAUCGUGUCGUGAUGGGGAUAGAUUAUUGCAAUUAUUAAUCUUCAACGAGGAAUGCCUAGUAAGCGCAAGUCAUCAGCUUGCGUUGAUUACGUCCCUGCCCUUUGUACACACCGCCCGUCGCUCCUACCGAUUGAAUGGUCCGGUGAAGCGUUCGGACCGUGGCCUUUGGACGGUUCGCCGUCUGUUGGCUGCGGGAAGUUCGUUAAACCUUAUCAUUUAGAGGAAGGAGAAGUCGUAACA
rnacentral:rRNA from 1 species